AUGUCCGGGGAAGACACCGCAGCACCGCAGGUCUUGGAGGACCUGCCGGGCGUCCUCAAGCUCCUCAGCGACGGCUCGGUCGUCCGCGGCGACGAAGCCGUGCUCUGGCCAGAGGACCCGUUGCCGGACGUCCCCGGCGUGCAGUGGAAGGACGCCCAGUACCACGCGCCGCGCGGCCUUAGCGUCCGCGUGUACAGGCCGUCGUCGUCGGUGACGGAAGCCGGCGGCCCUAAGCUCCCGGUGCUGGUGUACUUCCACGGCGGCGGCUACUGCCUCGGCUCCUUCGCGCAGCCACACUUCCACACCUACUGCCUCCGCGCCGCUGCCGAGCUCCCGGCGGUCGUGCUGUCCGUCCAGUACCGCCUCGCCCCCGAGCACCGCCUCCCCGCGGCCAUCGAGGACGGUGCGGCUUUCCUCUCCUGGCUGCGCGACCAGGCCGAGCUCGGCGUUGGCGCUGACCCCUGGCUCGCCGAAACGGCCGAUUUUGGCCGGACGUUCAUCUCCGGCGCAUCGGCGGGCGCCAACCUGGCCCACCACGUCACGGUCCAGGCCGCCUCGGCGCAGCGAGACGUCCACCCGGUGCGCGUCGCCGGGUACGUCCUCAUCUCUGCGUUCUUCGGCGGCGCCGAGCGGACGGCGACGGAGGCCGACCCCCCGGCGGACGUGUCCCUGACGGUCGAGGGAUUCGACAUGUUCUGGCGCAUGUCGCUGCCGGUGGGGGCGAGCAGGGAUCACCCGGUGGCCAACCCGUUCGGCCCGGAGAGCCCCAGCCUUGCGUCCGUGGAUCUCCCGCCGGUGCUCGUGGUGGCGCCGGAGAGCGACGUGCUCCGCGACCGCGUGAUGGGGUACGCCGCGAGGCUGAGGGAGAUGGGGAAGGCCGUGGAGGUGGCCGGGUUCGCCGGAGAACAGCACGGGUUCUCUGUCCUCCGGCCGUUCGGCGAGGCGGCCAACGAGCUGAUGCGUGUCCUCAAGCGGUUUGUGUACGCAGGUACCACACGUAAUACGUCCACUGAUGGUUGA
rnacentral:rRNA from 1 species